AACGAACGUUAGCGGCGCGCCUAACACAUGCAAGUCGAGCGAGAAAGGGAGCAAUCCCCGGUACAGCGGCGCACGGGUGAGUAACACGUAGGUAACCAACCUCCGAGUGGUGGAUAACCUUCCGAAAGGAGGGCUAAUACAGCAUGAGCCCACGGCGACGAGAGUCGCAGGGGGAAAAGCCGGCCAAUCCAUGGAAGCUGGCGUUUGGAGACGGGCCUGCGGCCCAUCAGCUAGUUGGUGAGGUAAUGGCUCACCAAGGCAAAGACGGGUAGCUGGUCUGAGAGGAUGAUCAGCCACACUGGAACUGAGACACGGUCCAGACUCCUACGGGAGGCAGCAGUGGGGAAUCUUGCGCAAUGGGCGAAAGCCUGACGCAGCGACGCCGCGUGGGUGAUGAAGGCCUUCGGGUUGUAAGACCCUGUGGAGGGGGACGGAAGUAAGUACUUGGCGUAACAUCCAAGAUGAUGACGGUA
rnacentral:rRNA from 1 species